GCUUUAAGGAAGCUUUUCUUGCUGAAGGAUCAAAGAGAUGGAAGCCGAAGCCUGUAAUUGUAUCUUCCUUCUUUAAGCUGUGUGAGGAAGAAGCUGACAUGUCAAGCAAAGGAGUGUUGGANNGGAGGGUUGGUUGAGGCAGUCAGGAUAUCUUGAAGAUGAAAAUUAUGCAUCACUUGUUGGACUGUCUAGUGAACUGUCGAAUGAGAAAGAUAGCACAGGCAAUAUAAAUGACAAUGAGGAGAAUGAAAUACUUCUCAACCAGUUUCAGGGCAGUCUCUGAUAUAUUUAUCACUUGCUUUUGUGUAUGGGAGAUUGUUGUUUGGACCUCAUUUGCUGGGCAGAGUGUAUCUGAGCUCAAAUUUUCAAGGCAGGCAUGUACAUAUGGUGAAAAAUGG
rnacentral:misc_RNA from 1 species